rnacentral:rRNA from 1 species
AGAGUUUGAUCAUGGCUCAGAUUGAACGCUGGCGGCAGGCCUAACACAUGCAAGUCGAGCGGUAGCACAGAGAGCUUGCUCUCGGGUGACGAGCGGCGGACGGGUGAGUAAUGUCUGGGAAACUGCCUGAUGGAGGGGGAUAACUACUGGAAACGGUAGCUAAUACCGCAUAACGUCGCAAGACCAAAGUGGGGGACCUUCGGGCCUCAUGCCAUCAGAUGUGCCCAGAUGGGAUUAGCUAGUAGGUGGGGUAACGGCUCACCUAGGCGACGAUCCCUAGCUGGUCUGAGAGGAUGACCAGCCACACUGGAACUGAGACACGGUCCAGACUCCUACGGGAGGCAGCAGUGGGGAAUAUUGCACAAUGGGCGCAAGCCUGAUGCAGCCAUGCCGCGUGUGUGAAGAAGGCCUUCGGGUUGUAAAGCACUUUCAGCGGGGAGGAAGGCGAUAAGGUUAAUAACCUUGUCGAUUGACGUUACCCGCAGAAGAAGCACCGGCUAACUCCGUGCCAGCAGCCGCGGUAAUACGGAGGGUGCAAGCGUUAAUCGGAAUUACUGGGCGUAAAGCGCACGCAGGCGGUCUGUCAAGUCGGAUGUGAAAUCCCCGGGCUCAACCUGGGAACUGCAUUCGAAACUGGCAGGCUAGAGUCUUGUAGAGGGGGGUAGAAUUCCAGGUGUAGCGGUGAAAUGCGUAGAGAUCUGGAGGAAUACCGGUGGCGAAGGCGGCCCCCUGGACAAAGACUGACGCUCAGGUGCGAAAGCGUGGGGAGCAAACAGGAUUAGAUACCCUGGUAGUCCACGCCGUAAACGAUGUCGAUUUGGAGGUUGUGCCCUUGAGGCGUGGCUUCCGGAGCUAACGCGUUAAAUCGACCGCCUGGGGAGUACGGCCGCAAGGUUAAAACUCAAAUGAAUUGACGGGGGCCCGCACAAGCGGUGGAGCAUGUGGUUUAAUUCGAUGCAACGCGAAGAACCUUACCUGGUCUUGACAUCCACAGAACUUAGCAGAGAUGCUUUGGUGCCUUCGGGAACUGUGAGACAGGUGCUGCAUGGCUGUCGUCAGCUCGUGUUGUGAAAUGUUGGGUUAAGUCCGCAACGAGCGCAACCCUUAUCCUUUGUUGCCAGCGGUUAGGCCGGGAACUCAAAGGAGACUGCCAGUGAUAAACUGGAGGAAGGUGGGGAUGACGUCAAGUCAUCAUGGCCCUUACGACCAGGGCUACACACGUGCUACAAUGGCAUAUACAAAGAGAAGCGACCUCGCGAGAGCAAGCGGACCUCAUAAAGUAUGUCGUAGUCCGGAUUGGAGUCUGCAACUCGACUCCCAUGAAGUCGGAAUCGCUAGUAAUCGUAGAUCAGAAUGCUACGGUGAAUACGUUCCCGGGCCUUGUACACACCGCCCGUCACACCAUGGGAGUGGGUUGCAAAAGAAGUAGGUAGCUUAACCUUCGGGAGGGCGCUUACCACUUUGUGAUUCAUGACUGGGGUGAAGUCGUAACAAGGUAACCGUAGGGGAACCUGCGGUUGGAUCACCU